AGUUAGAAAGCGUAACCAACGCGUUUAGUUUCGACCUAAAUUUUGGUAAAUUUACCUCUAAUUA
rnacentral:tRNA from 1 species